ACGGAAGAGCCUCUAGUGAGAAUGAUACCGGGGUUACCAUAGCGUCAAACUCCGAUGGUAUACCGGCAACAAAUAACUUCUACUUUUUUGGUCUCCGAAACAAUAGAUCUAGAGGCCUAAAGCAGAGCACAGAGAUUCUGAAUGUUGACAAGAUGCCACAAACAGUCGAUUCACAGUGUUCUAGACAUCGCAAGCCGACUUCGCGGUUGUAAAGCAAGACAACAAAGACGCACUGGUCGUAGAAAGCAACUAGGAGGCAAGGAGCUUGUCUUGUUGAACAAACAUGAAAUCUUUUGGAUUUGGAGUUUAAGCACCAUCCGGAGACGCCACAAACCUAGGCGGUAAAGAUAACGUGCCGUCUAAACUAACAACUCAUCUUUCAACAAUUAGACGCACAUUGCUGUCAUUGAACAAAAAUUUUCUCAUCUAAUUUUAUUGUGUCAUGGCGAGGAAAACACUAAAUCAAACGUGAGCUGGAAAACGUCGGACUAGAGUGAUCAACGGAAGUGGAGUCUGUCGAAUUAGCCAUGGAUUAGCAAAGAAAACAAGCACCAGGACCUCAGGCGACUGAUACCAUAUUAGGAGUUUCCGAACCAAACAAGGUGUUGUGGCGUUGUUUGGAGUUGGCCGAAUUUCCCCAAAACAACAUAGGGUACACCAUUUCAACACACAUGUGAUUGAUAGCAACAAGUUGCAAUUUAGGGCAAAGUAUCUUUUGUCAUGCAUGUGCCCUGAGAGGUCAUACGAUUAUAGCAAUCCUCGAAGCCAAAGCUCGAAGAAAGAAACAUAAAACAGGAUUUAUAUGCUGCCUCAAUUUUCGUCAUAUAUAUUUUAAUUUUUUAUGUCUGUUUUACGGUUCAUGUUUGAAGUUUAUAAUUGCAUCUCUAAACAAUAUCGUCUUCA